GGGGGCGGCCGGGGCGGGAGGUGGCCGCGAGGGUCUGUUGUGUCUGCGUGCUGAUGUGGCACUCACCCUGAAGGCGGCUUCAGACGUUCACCUCUAGCCCCGGAGUCAGGCACUUCUCUGGUUCAGGCGCUUCUCUGGUUUUAAAAUCUUCCUAAGUACAGUGCUUAUGCACAUUCUGCGGGUUUGAGGUCCAUGCAGUCGCUCGGGGUCGAUAACAUCGUUGUUUUAAGACAUAAAAGAUUGUGAAAUAUAGUCAGUUUGGAGAGCUGUGCUGUCAGCUUGCUGCUCCUUUAUCCCUACAGUUGUCAGCUUCACCAGUGUACAGUCAGUGUCUGAGUAAAUGAAGAGCUACGUCAUGAGGUCUGAGAAGUUACCUAAUUAAUUACUGAGACGACUUCCCUGACAAAUUCUAACAUCACUUUUCCAAAGCGAGCUUGAAGAUGCAGCGGUACUCAACUUUGUUGAAUCAAGAGCAUGCUUGUGGAAAAAAGUGCCCUCUGCUCACCAGGUAUGGCUCAUAGUUUCAUGGUAAUUAUAUGCAAAGUCUAAGUGGGCAGAAAAGAGGUAGAGACACCAAGACAAUACCGGGGUUAUUAAAGUAAUCCGUGGUAAUCCUGAACAACUCAACUGUGUGUCGAAAUUUAAUUAUGAAAAUAGUUAUUUCAUAUCCUAAUCUAAAACCCCGCCACCAGUUAUGUUAAUUUGAACCAGUGUUGCGGACGCACUGCUCUGUAUUGGAUUUUUUGUUCUAUUUAAAAGGCGAUAUGUGAAACCUGUCAACCUGUACGUUGUUCCCAGUGUUUAACUUUCAAAGAUGUGAGAACAGAUGAGAUAAGAUUACUCACUCAGUGUGAGAUCAGCGUAGUGAUUAAACUGCUUGCCUCUCACUCUCCCAAAGCUUUUGUUCUCCAGUUUACGGUAUCCUAAUGAAACAAGGAUCACUGUAUGCUGUGACUGCAUGUGCCGGGCUGUUGCUGGAGCGGCACAUCAGAGUGGCUGUGAUGUCCCCAGCUGCUGCCUUACAGGCUGUUUUUGGAGUGCACGGCGCAGCCAGGGGCAUUUUUCUGACUAUGAAUCAUCAGAAUCACAGAAUAUCCCAGAUAGGAAGGGGACUGCAAGGACCAUAGAGUGGUCCACCCAGGACCAUCCAAAAUUCAAACCCUAUGUCUGAGAGUGGUGUUCAAACGCUCCUUGAAGUCCAGCACUCAAGGCCCUGGGCAGCCCGUUCCAUGCCCACCGCCCUCUGGUGCAGCACCUGUCCCUAACCCCCAGCUGCCCCUCCCCUGACACAGCUCCAUGCCGUUCCCUCAGGCCCUGUCGCUGUCACACAGAGCAGAGCUCAGCGCUGCCCCUCCGCUCCCUGUGAGGAGCUGCAGCCGCCAUCAGGCCUCCCCUCAGGUUUGAGGUAGCAGGGCUGGUGGUGGGAGGAUGGCGGUGUAGCCGAGCGCGGCCCCGAGAAGCAGCGCCACCUAGCGACGAGCUUUGCUUCCACACAGCGCGCGUCUGCGGGCUGCAGAGUAAGUGCUUACCCCGCCUCCUCCAAAAACGUAUGCCUGCAGCUUGUUUAGUUCUCAGUGCCGCAUAAUUUCCCGGAGAACACUGUAGAAGAAGAAUUAAUUAACCCUUUCUUAAAACUUCAUUUCUUUUUUUUUAAAGCUCCUUCAACUUUCUUCUCUUUUGCUUAAUGAAGGAGAAUCAGUCAGGAUUAUUUGGUACUCCUUCUUAAAUCUACUGAAUGUUACAGGAAGAGCUGUGCUGGCUCACUGUAGAAGCUCCAUUUUUUCCCUAGAACCAUAAAAUCGUAGAAUCAUUAAGGUUGGAAAAGACCUCUAAGAUCACCCAGUCCGGCCAUCAGCCCAUCCCCUCCAUGCCCACUGACCACCUCCCUCAGUGCACUAAGUGUAAAGAGCUGCAGGGUCUGGCUGUGGAUAGCAGGGAGUAAAGUUCUGGACAUCCUUUAGUGAGCUCCCAUUCUCACAGGCUGUGUGUGCUCUACCUGCUCCAUGGAGGCAGUUGCACUGAGUUAGCAGGAGCCAGGGAACCUGUCUGCUUGUUUACAGUAAUGGUGAAAAAGUUGCCUGCUGCAAGGACAGAAGGAAUACUGGGACACGCAGUUGGCCAUACAUAACAGCAGAGCAAGUUUGUUAGGAUUGCUCAGGCUGGAGUUUUGUUUGACAUUCAGGCUUUGCUGCCUCCUAAGAGGGUGACAACCAUGAAGCUGAAGUUAAACGAGAUCGUCUAUCAUAGAAUCAUAGAACAGCCUGGGUUGAAAAGGACCUCAAUGAUCAUCAAGUUUCAACCCCCCUGCUAUGUGCAGGGUCGCCAACCACCAGACCAGGCUGCCCAGAGCCACAUCCAGCCUGGAUGUCUAAGUCUCAACCUGAUUUUUUUGGCAAGUCAAAAUCGUCCCUCAAAGAGGGGAGGGGAAAGCCCUGCAGCUCUGUGCUCUUCUGCUUCUUCCUAUAUCGAAGUGGAGCACCACUGGGAUGUAUUUACUAUUUCCUUGAAUGCCUUCAAUAAACCACAGACAUUACGAGGUCUCCCCAUUAGGUCUCUGGACAGACCCUUUUGUCUUUUUAUUAUUGUUAUUGUUGUUGUUUCUUUUGUUUUCUGUUCUAACCAUCACCCCGUGCCUCUUUUUUAUUCCCCGUCUGAAAAUUGGAUUUAUCAGUUCAUUUGUUCAUUUUGGUUUUGUUUCUAAAAUUCCUUUCUCUAUACUCUUUGGAGGGGAGAGAGCGGGGGGUGUUUUAUAGCCUGUGUUCAGGGGGGAGCCAGAAGCAAUGCUCAUAUGUGGAUAUUUAGCAAAGAACUGAGGAAGUAUAUGAUAUCCUCCCUGAACCCUUUCCCAAUCUCUGCUAUUUUUGGCUCAUGGAAAGGUAAGACACCCUGAGCCAGAUGUGCUCUUUAGUAACCCUUGAUGAUCUAUGUAAUGAGCCUGCCUAGUAUGUAAUCCUUUAAUUGAUAUAAAUUUAGCAUCUGCAAUAUCCUCUGUGAGUGUUUUGGGAUUCUGUUGCAAAGUUACGCCUUUUUAUGUGAAAUGAAAAGAAUAAACACAAAUUUUGUUCUAAGGCACUUUUAGGUCAAAACAGUCAUUUAACAAACGCAUUUUGACUAGGUUCCUUCCCCUGGUAUUUUGGCUCGUCCCUCUCCCUUUCUGUCCUUUGCCUGAUUCCAGCUGGUAUCGUGUCUAUGUCUGUCCUAAGCUGUCCUAAGUGCAGUGCUGUAUUGGUCAGAGGGAUGGUAAUUCUUCUCGUGGCAGUCAGAGUGUGCCAGAAUUGUUCUGAAAUUUCUCCAAAAAUAGAUCCUGUGCUGUGAUCCAAAGGGAAAACAUUUGAGACAUUUUAAAUGAAGGAAGGGAAUCUGAAUGCAUAACUUUCCUUGGAUCUCUCAGGGAGCUUCACAGCAAGGCUUCUAGCCAAUUUCUAGAUAUUUAUUCCUUGUUUUCAGAGACCUCAUGAAUAAAAAUGGUGCGUGACUGCUUUCCCAGGUGUUCCAUGCAUCACUGCAGAUUCUGGUGCAGGAAAAAUAAAGGCUUUCAGAGAAUGUGCUAUAGCCUGUAGGAAAAUAAUAACAAUUAUGUUUUUAUAUUAUAUAUAUAUAUAAUAACAAUUAUAUAAUGUAUUAUUUCUUCAUAAUGUAAAUGAGAAAUAGCUCUGUUGUGAUUUUCUGGUAACUUCCAGUGAACCCAACUUAAGAGAAGGUGAGAAUGGAAACUCUGAAGAGCAUCAUAUUGACAGUGUUAUACCAAGGCGAAGGACAAAGCAGAGAAAUGCAAUGGGACAUAUAUAAAAUGCAGUCAAUCUUUGUUAAGAGUUGUAAAACAGGGGAAAAAAAAGGUUAAGAAUGCAGUUUGAUCACUGUAUGAGUGAGGACUGAAGUGUAGCUGAUGGAAUGUGGAGGGACUGAACUCAGCAGAACUGAAAGCAUUGCCAGUUUUACAUUCACAAGUCCAAAGUCCUUUAUAUAUAAGCAAUAGGAAAAAAAAAAAAGUUGAAAAUACAGCUUGGGCUGUGAUGCCUGCUAGAUGGUUGUCCCUUCUUACCUGUUCUCUAUGAUAAAGAAUUCUCUGUAUUGCUUUUUCUUCCGUACGUCCCUUGUUUUUUUUAUCCCAGCUGGCAACAUGCAAUAAUUUAGCCACAUACUUUUGCUCCCCCUACACCUUUUUGCACUUGUUUUCACUAGAAGUAUUGCCAGACAGCACGAUUCCACAAUGUUUGUACAUGAAAUGCAAAAAGAAACAAGUGUUGUUAAGGUAUUAGUGGGAAGAGAUUGACACCUCCAGUCCUUCAGACACGUGUAAUGGCUUUUGCUAAACCAAAGCACAUGCCUGUGUGGCUUCUCAUGUUAAAUCAGCGCGUGUCUAUUUGAUGAACUGCAUGUA